rnacentral:rRNA from 1 species
GAGGCGUGAUGACGAGGCACUACGGUGCUGAAGCGACAAAUGCCCUGCUUCCAGGAAAAGCCUCUAAGCAUCAGGUAACAUCAAAUCGUACCCCAAACCGACACAGGUGGUCAGGUAGAGAAUACCAAGGCGCUUGAGAGAACUCGGGUGAAGGAACUAGGCAAAAUGGUGCCGUAACUUCGGGAGAAGGCACGCUGAUAUGUAGGUGAAGCGACUUGCUCGUGGAGCUGAAAUCAGUCGAAGAUACCAGCUGGCUGCAACUGUUUAUUAAAAACACAGCACUGUGCAAACACGAAAGUGGACGUAUACGGUGUGACGCCUGCCCGGUGCCGGAAGGUUAAUUGAUGGGGUUAGCGGUAACGCGAAGCUCUUGAUCGAAGCCCCGGUAAACGGCGGCCGUAACUAUAACGGUCCUAAGGUAGCGAAAUUCCUUGUCGGGUAAGUUCCGACCUGCACGAAUGGCGUAAUGAUGGCCAGGCUGUCUCCACCCGAGACUCAGUGAAAUUGAACUCGCUGUGAAGAUGCAGUGUACCCGCGGCAAGACGGAAAGACCCCGUGAACCUUUACUAUAGCUUGACACUGAACAUUGAGCCUUGAUGUGUAGGAUAGGUGGGAGGCUUUGAAGUGUGGACGCCAGUCUGCAUGGAGCCGACCUUGAAAUACCACCCUUUAAUGUUUGAUGUUCUAACGUGGGCCCCUUACCGGGGUUGCGGACAGUGUCUGGUGGGUAGUUUGACUGGGGCGGUCUCCUCCUAAAGAGUAACGGAGGAGCACGAAGGUUGGCUAAUCCUGGUCGGACAUCAGGAGGUUAGUGCAAUGGCAUAAGCCAGCUUGACUGCGAGCGUGACGGCGCGAGCAGGUGCGAAAGCAGGUCAUAGUGAUCCGGUGGUUCUGAAUGGAAGGGCCAUCGCUCAACGGAUAAAAGGUACUCCGGGGAUAACAGGCUGAUACCGCCCAAGAGUUCAUAUCGACGGCGGUGUUUGGCACCUCGAUGUCGGCUCAUCACAUCCUGGGGCUGAAGUAGGUCCCAAGGGUAUGGCUGUUCGCCAUUUAAAGUGGUACGCGAGCUGGGUUUAGAACGUCGUGAGACAGUUCGGUCCCUAUCUGCCGUGGGCGCUGGAGAACUGAGGGGGGCUGCUCCUAGUACGAGAGGACCGGAGUGGACGCAUCACUGGUGUUCGGGUUGUCAUGCCAAUGGCACUGCCCGGUAGCUAAAUGCGGAAGAGAUAAGUGCUGAAAGCAUCUAAGCACGAAACUUGCCCCGAGAUGAGUUCUCCCUGACUCCUUGAGAGUCCUGAAGGAACGUUGAAGACGACGACGUUGAUAGGCCGGGUGUGUAAGCGCAGCGAUGCGUUGAGCUAACCGGUACUAAUGAACCGUGAGGCUUAACCUU